rnacentral:rRNA from 1 species
UUCGCCUUACUAACUGGCGAGUGAAGCGGCAAAAGCUCAAAUUUGAAAUCUGGUACCUUCGGUGCCCGAGUUGUAAUUUGGAGAGGGCAACUUUGGGGCCGUUCCUUGUCUAUGUUCCUUGGAACAGGACGUCAUAGAGGGUGAGAAUCCCGUGUGGCGAGGAGUGCGGUUCUUUGUAAAGUGCCUUCGAAGAGUCGAGUUGUUUGGGAAUGCAGCUCUAAGUGGGUGGUAAAUUCCAUCUAAAGCUAAAUAUUGGCGAGAGACCGAUAGCGAACAAGUACAGUGAUGGAAAGAUGAAAAGAACUUUGAAAAGAGAGUGAAAAAGUACGUGAAAUUGUUGAAAGGGAAGGGCAUUUGAUCAGACAUGGUGUUUUGUGCCCUCUGCUCCUUGUGGGUAGGGGAAUCUCGCAUUUCACUGGGCCAGCAUCAGUUUUGGUGGCAGGAUAAAUCCAUAGGAAUGUAGCUUGCCUCGGUAAGUAUUAUAGCCUGUGGGAAUACUGCCAGCUGGGACUGAGGACUGCGACGUAAGUCAAGGAUGCUGGCAUAAUGGUUAUAUGCCGCCCGUCUUGAAACACGGACCUCCUGUGUGAGGGAUUCCCCUUAA